rnacentral:rRNA from 1 species
CCUACGGGAUGCAGCAGUGGGGAAUAUUGCACAAUGGGGGAAACCCUGAUGCAGCGACGCCGCGUGGGUGACGAAGUAUUUCGGUAUGUAAAGCCCUAUCGGCAGGGAAGAAGGAGGACGGUACCUGACUAAGAAGCCCCGGCUAACUACGUGCCAGCAGCCGCGGUAAUACGUAGGGGGCAAGCGUUAUCCGGAUUUACUGGGUGUAAAGGGGGCGCAGACGGCAGCGCAAGCCAGGAGUGAAGGCCCGGGGCCCAACCCCGGGACUGCUCUUGGAACUGCGCGGCUGGAGUGCAGGAGGGGCAGGCGGAAUUCCUGGUGUAGCGGUGAAAUGCGGAGAUAUCAGGAGGAACACCGGUGGCGAAGGCGGCCUGCUGGACUGCGACUGACGUUGAGGCCCGAAAGCGUGGGGAGCAAACAGGAUUAGAUACCCGUGUAGUC